UUAGCAUUGCUUAUUUAUUUAAGUUUUUUUUAUGUUUGCAUUUUUUUUAAGACUUUAUACUUGGUGUUCAGAUAUUAAACUUCCAAUAACAUGUAAUUAUCAAAUGGAAAUUUUCUAAUUUCCUGUCAACUUUAAAUAUCUUUUAACUCAAAAACACGACGGGUCGCUGGAUGAGUAACUGCCGAGCUUAGCACGUUUUCUGGAGGAAACCUUGAGAGAAGACUAAAAUCUCAAUCCAUGUACAAGUAGUGCAUAUCUGACUGCUACAGGCAGUCACUGCCAUUGUUUCUGGUGUAUUAAACAAAGUGAUUGGAAUGAUGGAGGAAGAAAAUUAAAUCCAAUUCCUUUAACUUAAAUCAAUAGUUUGAAUCUGAGUGUUUCAACAGGCUAAUGGUUUCAAAGCAAGCGACCAAACUGGGUAGCAUUAAGCUAUAUAGAUGGCCUUCCUCAGCUUGAUUGAAAAUUUGUGCGCUACGCCUAAAAGCUUGGAAUAUGGUGGAGGUGAUGACUGCAAAAAGUGUAAGUUUUUUCCAUGGGUGGAUUACAGAAAAAUUCACAAUAAUUUCAAACCUGAGCUUCCAAUUCUUGUUUUUACUUAUUGACAUUCUUUGUUGUAUAAUCAUUCCAACUUGGAAACAAGAAAAGCUGUUAAAUUAAUAGUUAAAUCCCAAAACGACAUUCAUGGCAAGGAGUGUGCUGUAUGUAAACUUCUGACCAAAACUGCUCCCUCCAGUUGGAGGUUUUUCAAAACUUUAAAAAUCCUCCUUGAUUCACUUCUAGAAUUCACCUUAUCCUGUUUGAUAUGUACAAUAUUUAUACAAAUAAAUAAUAUAAAAAAAACACACACACACAAAGCAAUUUAAAGCACACCUGCUUAGAUGGAUGACUGUGUCUUAAGUGACGUCUGUUGUUUUUUCCUGAAAUCGUUACCACCUCUUGGCUCUGAGAAGUGAACAGACAGCUUUCUGCUCAGCUCCUUAUCAGAUGAGGAUUGUUCGAGGCGUGCAGCGUGCAUCAACAGCGUACAAAGAUCACAAGGAAGGAAGCAGCCGGCUUACAAAAUACUUAAGUAUCAAAAUUAUUUGAAAGAGUCUGCAUGAAGGUUGAAUCCUUCUCUGUAUCUCAACCAAAUGAAUGCGUCCAAACUAAAACAGGCAGAUGAAUUUUCACUUUAUAAUUUAAGCCACACGAUGGCUUCACUUUGCUGCUGCUAGUGGUUGGGGCUGCCUGUUCUUUUCCACUUCGGCAAGAUACGAGGGAUUGCUGCAAAGUAAAAGUCAAUGUCCCACUUUCUUGCCCUGGAGGAGGGAUUGCUGCAAAGUCAGUGACUUGAUGCAAUCAACAGUGAUUUCUCAACAUUUUGCCAAUUAGCGUUAUAAACUGAACCCGACUGGAAUCCAUUAUAACUACAAUUUUUGCUUAGAAAUUAGAUCGGCAUGUUUCAUAAAGGACUUUGAGAUGAUAAUUAUUGUAAAUCGCUGCAAUAUAAAUACAUUGAUUUGAAGAUAAAAAGCAACUACCGAAAUAAUCCAAGACUGAAGACAGAGAACACUCCCUGCUGACUAACUCCGUAAACAUCCUCAACAGGAACAACCUGCCAAUAGCAUCUGGCAUCCAAGUCCUGAUCUGUGGCUCUCUUUCUCUAUCAGGUAUGAGGAUGUUUUAUGUCUUGUGGUGACAUGGAUCAUUUAAUAAUUUAAAAGGUUCAACUUGGUUCAGGACAGUUCACAUGCCAACUU